rnacentral:rRNA from 1 species
AACGAACGCUGGCGGCAUGCCUAAUACAUGCAAGUCGAACGAGAUCUUCGGAUCUAGUGGCGCACGGGUGCGUAACGCGUGGGAAUCUGCCCUUGGGUUCGGAAUAACUUCUGGAAACGGAAGCUAAUACCGGAUGAUGACGUAAGUCCAAAGAUUUAUCGCCCAAGGAUGAGCCCGCGUAGGAUUAGCUAGUUGGUGGGGUAAAGGCUCACCAAGGCGACGAUCCUUAGCUGGUCUGAGAGGAUGAUCAGCCACACUGGGACUGAGACACGGCCCAGACUCCUACGGGAGGCAGCAGUAGGGAAUAUUGGACAAUGGGCGAAAGCCUGAUCCAGCAAUGCCGCGUGAGUGAUGAAGGCCUUAGGGUUGUAAAGCUCUUUUACCCGGGAUGAUAAUGACAGUACCGGGAGAAUAAGCUCCGGCUAACUCCGUGCCAGCCGCCGCGGUAACAC